GCCAUCCUCGUUCCGGCUUCUUUCUCCGAUUUCCAGAGCCUCGUCGAUGCUGUGAAGCGUGUAGAUGUCGUCAUCUCCGCCCUGUCCGGUGUCCAUUUUAGAAGCCAUAGCAUUCUCCUUCAACUCAAACUUGUUGAAGCCAUUCGAGCUGCAGGGAAUAUCGAGGUUAAUUUUCUUUUAAUUUUCAUUACAAACAUUUAUUAUCUACAAAAGCUUCAUCACUCCAUUAAAGAUUGUGAUCUAUGAAAUAAACUUUAUGUGAUCUAACAACUUGAGGUUUUAGGGUAAUCAAAAUGCAUGAUUUAAGGAAAUCCUUGUUGUAUUUAUGUAUUUGUACAGAGAUUCUUGCCAUCAGAAUAUGGAAUAGAUCCAGCAAGGAUGUUAAAUGCAAUUGAACAAGGAAGAGACACAUUUGAACAAAAAAUGGCAGUAAGAAAGGCAAUUGAAGAAGCAAAUAUUCCUUUUACUUAUGUGUCGGCCAACUGUUUUGCUGGUUACUUUGCUGCUAACCUCUCUCAAAUGCAUACUCUUGUUCCUCCAGCCCAUCAAGUCACAGUUUAUGGUGAUGGUAAUGUUAAAGGUAACCCCCCCAACCCAUCCCCCUACACCGAUUAUUCAUCUUAUCUAAAUUAUUGCCCGCUCCCUCACUUUUUUCUAAUUACAACAAUUGCCCUUCACUUUGCAAUAAUUUACUUUUCCAAAUAAUUGUGGUUUAUUCUUUAGAGUUUUUAUUUGCGAAUGUCUAAAUCUU
rnacentral:lncRNA from 1 species